rnacentral:rRNA from 1 species
UGGGGAAUUUUGGACAAUGGGCGCAAGCCUGAUCCAGCCAUGCCGCGUGCGGGAAGAAGGCCUUCGGGUUGUAAACCGCUUUUGUCAGGGAAGAAAUCUUCUGAGUUAAUACCUCGGGAGGAUGACGGUACCUGAAGAAUAAGCACCGGCUAACUACGUGCCAGCAGCCGCGGUAAUACGUAGGGUGCAAGCGUUAAUCGGAAUUACUGGGCGUAAAGCGUGCGCAGGCGGUUUUGUAAGACAGAGGUGAAAUCCCCGGGCUCAACCUGGGAACUGCCUUUGUGACUGCAAGGCUUGAGUGCGGCAGAGGGGGAUGGAAUUCCGCGUGUAGCAGUGAAAUGCGUAGAUAUGCGGAGGAACACCGAUGGCGAAGGCAAUCCCCUGGGCCUGCACUGACGCUCAUGCACGAAAGCGUGGGGAGCAAACAGGAUUAGAUACCCUGGUAGUCCACGCCCUAAAACGAUGUCAACUGGUUGUUGGGAAGGUUCCUUCUCAGUAACGUAGCUAACGCGUGAAGUUGACCGCCUGGGGAGUACGGCCGCAAGGUUGAAAACUCAAAUGAAUUGACGGGGUCAUAGCUGUUU